rnacentral:snRNA from 1 species
GGAUGUAGGGGUGAUGUGGCUGCCAUAUAUGUCACCCCACUGGUAGCCAGAGUUGGUUCAGCUCAUCUGGCUGGUUAGGUGUCUCUUUCCUCUCUCACUGCUCCUACAGCUUCAUGUUCUCUUGAUUCAAGAGGAUGGCCUCCCUCACAGAGUUCUUCAGUCAAGGGUAUAACCAGUAGCCGUGCUCCCUGCUAGAGCCCUCAGACAAGCUCACAAGGUCCAUUUGUAGGAGACUCCAGACCGAUCCCAGUGUUGGGUGCUGCCCGCGGUAGCCUGCUUUUCUUU